CCAGCCAUGCCGCGUGAGUGAUGAAGGCCUUCGGGUUGUAAAGCUCUUUCGCACGCGACGAUGAUGACGGUAGCGUGAGAAGAAGCCCCGGCUAACUUCGUGCCAGCAGCCGCGGUAAUA
rnacentral:rRNA from 1 species